rnacentral:miRNA from 1 species
AGAGUCGGACACGACUAAACGACUCAACAACAACAUAUAUAUAUAUUGUUGUUGAGUCGUUUAGUCAUGUCCGACUCU